GAUGAACGCUGGCGGCGUGCCUAAUACAUGCAAGUCGAGCGAACGGACGAGAAGCUUGCUUCUCUGAUGUUAGCGGCGGACGGGUGAGUAACGCGUGGAUAACCUACCUAUAAGACUGGGAUAACUUCGGGAAACCGGAGCUAAUACCGGAUGAUAUUUUGAACCGCAUGGUUCAAAAGUGAAAGACGGUCUUGCUGUCACUUAUAGAUGGAUCCGCGCUGCAUUAGCUAGUUGGUAAGGUAACGGCUUACCAAGGCAACGAUGCAUAGCCGACCUGAGAGGGUGAUCGGCCACACUGGAACUGAGACACGGUCCAGACUCCUACGGGGGGCAGCAGUAGGGAAUCUUCCGCAAUGGGCGAAAGCCUGACGGAGCAACGCCGCGUGAGUGAUGAAGGUCUUCGGAUCGUAAAACUCUGUUAUUAGGGAAGAACAUAUGUGUAAGUAACUGUGCACAUCUUGACGGUACCUAAUCAGAAAGCCACGGCUAACUACGUG
rnacentral:rRNA from 1 species